CGUGUAGGCGGUCUUUUAAGUCAGACGUGAAAUCUUGCGGCUCAACCGCAAAACUGCAUCUGAAACUGGAAGGCUUGAGCGUGGGAGAGGAGAGUGGAAUUCCUGGUGUAGCGGUGAAAUGCGUAGAUAUCAGGAGGAACACCCGUGGCGAAGGCGGCUCUCUGGCCCACUGCUGACGCUGAGACGCGAAAGCUAGGGGAGCGAACGGGAUUAGAUACCCCGGUAGUCCUAGCCGUAAACGAUGGAUACUAGGUGUUGGUGGUAUCGACCCCACCAGUGCCGUAGCUAACGCAUUAAGUAUCCCGCCUGGGGAGUACGGCCGCAAGGUUGAA
rnacentral:rRNA from 1 species